UGAUUAUCUGGAUCUUUUCCUGGUUUCGUUGUUGAUGAGAAUGUCAUCGUCCCCCAACAAUUUGUUCCCAGCUGAACCCCCAGCACCUGGUACCGUGGAGACAGAUGAAGCAGGGAUUGACCUUGGGCAGGCAGGUCUCUUCUCCAGCUGAGCCUCCUUCCUCUUUCCUGGUUCUACAUCUGCAGCCUCAAGGACCCUGCCAGUUAGAGAACUCUGCCUAACACACCUUGUGUGAGCACCUUCACCGGCUGAAUUUGAUUCAGAGGGAUGUGAAGGCUGUCAGCACGUUGUGACAGAGUACGCACUUGAUGGCCUGGGAUUGAAUCCUGGCUCUUCUCGAUUACCAGCUGUGUGACCUUGGGCCAGUCGUUCAAGCUUCCCUUGCUCAGUUGUCUUAACUCUGAAGUGAAGAUGGUGAUCUUAUCGAUUGCAUCUGGCUGUCAAGAGAAUUCCCAUCAAAGCAUCCACUGCCAUCCACUCUAUUCUGACCCAUAGCGACCCCUAUGGGACAGAAUAGAACUGCGCCCUGUGGG